rnacentral:rRNA from 1 species
GUACACUCCUGCGGGAGGCAGCAGUGGGGAAUAUUGCACAAUGGGCGCAAGCCUGAUGCAGCCAUGCCGCGUGUAUGAAGAAGGCCUUCGGGUUGUAAAGUACUUUCAGCGGGGAGGAAGGUGUUGAGGUUAAUAACCUCAGCAAUUGACGUUACCCGCAGAAGAAGCACCGGCUAACUCCGUGCCAGCAGCCGCGGUAAUACGGAGGGUGCAAGCGUUAAUCGGAAUUACUGGGCGUAAAGCGCACGCAGGCGGUCUGUCAAGUCGGAUGUGAAAUCCCCGGGCUCAACCUGGGAACUGCAUUCGAAACUGGCAGGCUAGAGUCUUGUAGAGGGGGGUAGAAUUCCAGGUGUAGCGGUGAAAUGCGUAGAGAUCUGGAGGAAUACCGGUGGCGAAGGCGGCCCCCUGGACAAAGACUGACGCUCAGGUGCGAAAGCGUGGGGAGCAAACAGGAUUAGAAACCCGAGUAGUCCCAUG